UAAAAAAAACUACACUUCGGAUAUGUUUCGGUGUGAAAAUAGGACAACAAAAUAAAUCGAGCUCUAGCUCUCUAUUUCAACUUUUUCAAACAAAUAGCCAGGGAUAACCGAUAUCGUUUAUAUCCAGUAAGGAGUCUCCUUAAGGUAUCGAUACCAAAAAUUCACUAAAGUAAGUAUAUAAUAGGACAAGAUAUUUGUGGUAGAAAGAAACCUGAUUUAGUUUUAGCCAGAAAAACAGUAUGAAUAAUGAUGCAGGUCACUUGUGAUAGUUAUUGUGUUUUCCACUCUGGGUACAGCUUCAUAGGAGAAUAUUGUCUUGUCGAGAGUGACAGCGUAGCAGGGUAGACCUAGGCGCUCGAACCAAGCAUCCAAAGUACUCGCUAUGUAAUCACUUCGACUAAAUGUCCAAAUUGGGGGAGUGAUUGCGCUCCUGGAUGAACUAUUUUCCAACCAAUGAUCCAGGCUUGUGUGAUGAAUACUAUCCUGGGCUAUCUUCAACUAGAUAUUCGACCCUUAUAUUCAAUGGUAAGUAAAACCAAGCUGAACUGAACCGUUACGUAAAGGCAAAUUGAUGUAAAGUAGGGUAGUCGAUAAGCCCACGUAACGUAAAAUUACAAGUAGAAAAAGAAAAAAAAUGCCCUAAAAAGAAUAUAUUCGUGAAAAGUUUGACCGGGUUCACAUAAAUUUGAAUGUAAUACAUGCAAAGGCUGAUAAAACCUACCUGGAUAAUGGGUGGCCUUGAGCAGUAAUUAUUCAAUUCAGCAAACUUGUGUAAUUCGGGAACAAAUCUUCUUGAAAUAGUCAGAGGACCUUCCUUUGACUACCUUUUCCGCAAAACUACAAGAGUUUCAAAGAAAAAUCCGCAAACAAGCGACACGUCUUUCCAAUCUUUCUAGAACACCGAAAAAACCACAUUCUGCUCAACUCUCCUUUUUUUCAUAUUUAACAAAAAAAACCCGCUUGUUUUUAAUUAGUGUCGUUCUUUAUAUUUUAGGUUGGGAACCCUGAUAUUUAUAAUGAAGUGACCUGGUAGUUCUAAUGAACCUUCUGAUGACAAGCAGAAGUGAGGUUAUGUUAUUUUGUUAUGAAUUCCCAAAAUGAUGAAAACGAUUAGUAAACGGUCAUUAUUUUAGCUAUCUACUCAAAAGCAGAUCAACAUACCUGACGAUGAACCCUACCCGUACUAUCGACCUCGCUGGACUCGUCUUUGGCAUGGAAAUAUCAGCUUAUCCCUGUUCUGAAUGUACAUAUUUUAUAAAAAGUAGAAGUUGAAUGAUAAUAAAAAAAAACUAUAUCCUU